UACGUAGGGUGCAAGCGUUAAUCGGAAUUACUGGGCGUAAAGCGUGCGCAGGCGGUUUUGUAAGUCUGUCGUGAAAGCCCCCGGGCUCAACCUGGGAAUUGCGAUGGAGACUGCAAGGCUUGAAUCUGGCAGAGGGGGGUAGAAUUCCACGUGUAGCAGUGAAAUGCGUAGAGAUGUGGAGGAACACCGAUGGCGAAGGCAGCCCCCUAGGUCAAGAUUGACGCUCAUGCACGAAAGCGUGGGGAGCAAACAGG
rnacentral:rRNA from 1 species